rnacentral:rRNA from 1 species
UACGGAGGGUGCAAGCGUUGUCCGGAUUUAUUGGGUUUAAAGGGUGCGUAGGCGGCUUUUUAAGUCAGUGGUGAAAGCCAACAGCUCAACUGUUGAACUGCCAUUGAUACUGAAAAGCUUGAGUACAGACGAGGUAGGCGGAAUUUAUGGUGUAGCGGUGAAAUGCAUAGAUACCAUAAAGAACACCGAUUGCGAAGGCAGCUUACUAGGCUGUAACUGACGCUGAAGCACGAAAGCGUGGGGAUCAAACAGG